rnacentral:lncRNA from 1 species
UUUCCUGUAAGUUCAACAUUAUUAGAUAUAGCAAACUGUAAAAAUAAACAAAGGAAAUUUCAUUAAGGAUUAUUACAUAUGAUACAAGUAACGAACACAGACAACGGAUCAUCUAGGGAUCAAGGGACAACAAGCUGACAACAUCUAGUGUUUAAAAGGAGGGAAAAGCGACAGAAAAGAAAGUAUAAGAAAAUCAAAAUUGAACAUUAUUUUUCGUUUACAUUCGGUAAUUGCACAAAAGUUAGUAUUUUACCGGCUACGGUUGUUAUGAAGCACUACUUUAGCAAUCAGUAUUUGCACAGAAGGGCAUGUGUCAUACUAUUUGUAAGGAAAAAGUGGGAGGAAGCCCCUUACGGAAACAUUUGAGUAUCGAGAAAAAGUUCAAAAUUGCAAAAACGGGCUAGGGAAAAACCUCUUUGAAUAUAUGAAGAAAAAAAAAGGUUUACAAAGGCCAAAGCACAUUACCAAAAACUUUUGAACUUAGAGCUUAGAAGAAACUCCAAAUUCAGAUGGAGUAUAAAAGAAACCAGCUAAGCGAUGCCCACUACAAGAAAAGUUAUAGGGUCCAUGACCAUAAUGCAGGAAAAGAUGUAAUGUCAGGUCAGAGAUUGAGACACCUAAAAUACCGAAAGUUUAAAACAAGAUUGCAAACGAAUAGCCGAGACAAAAAUAGAAGGAAAAAAAAAAGUCAUACAUUUUCCUUGAGGUAAUCGUUGAAGGAGCUCAGUUCAUUUAGUAAUGCUUGUUCAGUUCCGUCAUUGGGAUCUUUGCUCUUGAGAAAUCCAAUAAAUGUAGAAAAGAUCUUUGACCCACUAUGACAAAAACAUGCAAACAUUAGAUAUUGUUGCAAAUUUAAUAUCGCCAUGUAAACAUUAAAGAACAAAAAGGAGUAAACAGUCAUUUUGGUCUCUAAAUGUGUGAGAUGGUGUCAUUGUAGUUCCUGAAUAUA